rnacentral:misc_RNA from 1 species
UAAUAAGUGUUUUAUGGCACUUUUUAAAUCCAUAUCCACCUUGUGUGCAACUGUCAGUCGAUCUUCUUCAUGGAGAUCAACCAAACAUCAACCUUUAUCUUUUAACUCUUUGUCUGAAAAAUAUUAUGAAUAAACAAUUCAAAAUA